UUCAAGUAAUUCAAAGCAUUAACUACCUGCAUUUGUAUCAGAAGAAGAAAACAAAACAAACCCAUCAGAUUUCAUUUGCCCCAGGUAUUGUAAGCCUCUUGCAGCUCCAGUAGCAAUUUUUAUCUUCUUAUCCCAACUAAGAGGUCUUCUGCUGUGGUCUGCAUAAAUUUAGAGAAAGUUGCUCCAGGAUGUUUAUCCAAUGAACCAUUGCAAACAUAUUCGUAAACAAGGAGCCUGUGGUUUCCUUCCGAACAUGACCCUAACAGCAUCACCAAAUUCU